rnacentral:rRNA from 1 species
UACGGAGGGUGCGAGCGUUAUCCGGAAUUACUGGGUUUAAAGGGUGCGUAGGCGGCCAGGUAAGUCAGGAGUGAAAGUUUGCGGCUCAACCGUAAAAUUGCUUUUGAUACUGCCAGGCUAGAAUUAGGAUGAGGUCAGCGGAAUGUGGCAUGUAGCGGUGAAAUGCAUAGAUAUGCCAUAGAACACCAAUUGCGAAGGCAGCUGGCUAGACCUGGAUUGACGCUGAGGCACGAAAGCGUGGGGAGCGGACAGG